UAUAGGGGCCUAAAUACCCUAAAUGCACCAGAUCCCAGCUGACCUUGGAAGAUAAGCAGGUUCAGACCUGCUUAGUAUUUGGAUGGGGGACCAUGGAUGACUACUGAGUGCUUUACAC
rnacentral:rRNA from 11 species